rnacentral:rRNA from 1 species
GGAAUCUUGCGCAAUGGAGGAAACUCUGACGCAGCCACGCCGCGUGCCGGAAGACGGCCCUAUGGGGUGUAAACGGCUUUUGAUAGGGAAGAACCUGGACCUUUCGAGGAACACUCACGGUACCUAUCGAAUAAGCACCCGCGCACUCCAUGCCAGCAGCCGCGGUAAUACGGAGGGUGCAAGCGUUGUCCGGAAUCAUUGGGUGUAAAGGGUGCGUAGGCGGAAGCCUAAGUCGGGGGUGAAAUCCUGCCGCUCAACGGCAGAAUGGCCUUCGAUACUGGGUUUCUUGAGUCCAGAAGAGGUUGGUGGAAUUCGUGGUGUAGCGGUGAAAUGCAUAGAUAUCACGAAGAACACCGGUGGCGAAGGCGGCCAACUGGUCUGGAACUGACGCUGAGGCACGAGAGCGUGGGGAGCG